UACGGAGGAUCCGAGCGUUAUCCGGAUUUACUGGGUGUAAAGGGAGCGCAGGCGGUCUGGCAAGUCUGAUGUGAAAUACCGGGGCUCAACUCCGGGACUGCAUUGGAAACUGUCAGACUGGAGUGUCGGAGAGGCAGGCGGAAUUCCUGGUGUAGCGGUGAAAUGCGUAGAUAUCAGGAGGAACACCAGUGGCGAAGGCGGCCUGCUGGACGAUGACUGACGCUGAGGCUCGAAAGCGUGGGGAGCAAACAGG
rnacentral:rRNA from 1 species